rnacentral:rRNA from 1 species
UACAUGGGGUGCAAACGUUGUUCGGAAUUACUGGGCGUAAAGCGCGUGUAGGCUGCUCUGCGUGUCGGAUGUGAAAGCCCUGGGCUCAACCUAGGAAGUGCAUUCGAAACUGCAGAGCUGGAGUCCUGGAGAGGAAGGCGGAAUUCUCGGUGUAGAGGUGAAAUUCGUAGAUAUCGAGAGGAACACCGGUGGCGAAGGCGGCCUUCUGGACAGUGACUGACGCUGAGACGCGAAAGCGUGGGGAGCAAACAGG